ACGUCAUUAUUCGAAAUUAUACCGAGAAUAUCGAAAAUAUUUCAUUCAUGCAGUGACAUUUAACUUAACAAGCUGGACAGUGUUAUAUAAGUGAGCGAAACAAUCUCCGUGCAUCAGAAAAAUCCUGAUCAUUUGGAAUACAGCUUGCUUGGCAAUCAACAUGCAGCUCUCCUUUAGCCUGUUUGUAUUCCUCGUCCUGUUGGUUCUGGCUGUGACUAUGUUCACCUCAUCAGAAGCCUAUAGAUACUGGUGGAAACCCAGACGAUACUGGAAAUAUUAUGGCUCAUAUGACAACUCAUGGAGCUUUGGCGAUUAAAAUUCACAGUGGUUCCUUUGACUUCGGUUUCCACCUUUCUUGGUUUCGGUUAUUCGGAUUGUUACAAAUAUAAGUUUCUAC